CACACACACACACACAAACAAACAAACAGGAAGUGUCUGCUUAAAUGGAUUUAACUAGAUAGACUCAGCCAGAUAAUGCAGUAACAUUACCUGAGGAUGCGGUUUGGGUCGAGAUUAUUUUCACUGAACAUGGACAAGCCAAUGCCUCACACAAGAUGGUUACUGCUGCUGAGCUUUAAGAGGAACCUUAAUUGUAACAAAGGGCACUAAUGACUGAAAGAAUAUUAUCCUAAGAUGGUUCCGCACCGACCCUCCUUCUUCUCCUAUUUUGAUGUGAUUUCCAGAGAGGACAUGUGAAUACCAGCUAAAGGCAGAGACACGAUGGACUGAUGCUGCCCUGACAGAACCAAAGGAUGCUGCGAGCAGCAGGGGCAAAAAAACAAGAUGCAGAUGAGCUUUGUGUACAUCACCAGUGGCAGAGCAGCUAUCAUAUACACAUGGUCCCUUGGGGAAGAAAGGCACCUUUAAGUGACAGACAAGUGUCAUAUCAACAUCAGACUGAAGGGAGAGAUAAACAUCUAUACAUCUAUUUUCAGGCAUUUUUUGAGAUGUCAAGUGCUGACGUCAGGUGGUCUUCGCUAAUACAUUCAGGCGUGCUGUUGUUUGAGUAGCCAGACAAACAUGCUCAUAUGCACAGGCAUGCCGAUACUGGCUUACAAAAGACAUACAGACCGAGUGCUGGCACUCUGGCCUCUGUCCUGUUCCAGCUGGGAUCUUAUCAGUGUGUGUGGUGGGUGGUAAUCAGAAGAUAUAAUACAUCAGGCAGCUGGCUGUUUAACCACAAUGGAGCAUCGCUGCUACAGCAACACUCAGCAGCCAGUGUGUCCUUGAAAUGGGGAAUGAGACUGAGGUGAACAAAUUAGAAGUCCAGCACCCAAUAAUGAUGCAACCCUGAACACACUCAAUCUGAUCUCAUUCUUUUUUCUUACCCUACCUCUUUUUCAUGCUUAGAGUUUUGUGUGUCGUUGUAAAAUUGAAUAUCUUGCUGUUUGCAAAU